rnacentral:misc_RNA from 1 species
AACCUCUAAUCAUAGUAUUAUACAUGAAAGUGUUACGGAGACAAAUAUAGUCGAAAACUAAGCAAGCGUAGGAGAAGAAAGAGGGGUUGUUGGAGGUGGCAGCAACAGAAAGGAGAGGUCCAAUGGCAAUAGGGUUCUCGUGAAGGAGGGUUUUGAGGAUAUGAGCAUGAAUUUGCUUCAGUUGGGUUAGGGUUUUGCAUUUGCGUGAGAGAGAAAUGACAGUGCUUAAAGGCUUAUUUGUUGCAACGGUAUUUUGGAUCAUCGGAAACUGGCAGCAAAAUUCUUAAUACGCCCGCAAGGGUGCUGAUAUCUGCUCGGCUAUACGGUUGGGUUGGUUAUACGACGUCGUUUCAAUGCGUCAACUGUUCAGUUCUUCAGGGUAAAUAGUAGUACAUUCUCCACCCUGUCAAAGUGCAACUUACGUAAAAUGGAAUCCAAUGGCCAUAGGGACGAGGAUGACACUACACUCUUCCAAAUAGUGUCCCACAACCAAGUCAUCCUUAUCAAACUCAGGAUUUCCAGAAAAUUACAAACUUUUGCCACACCAUUUGCUUCAAUAGCUUGACCUGCAACGAUGGGAAAUUGUGGCCUUCUGUGAAGAGCGGUAGGAUAAUGUAGCUGGAAGCCUGGAACUGGCUCCACCCACAGAGCAAGAUGUUCAGCCUAGAGCUCAAAGUCGGACUCUUUUGGUGCACCAUUGUGGUGGGUCUUUAUUG